ACCACUGCUGUUGCUACUGCUAUUAAAGCCCAAGUACUUGCAUCCAUCUUCCACUUUUUUCCUCCAACAUGGACUGAUGUCCAUGAAAUAUGAAAAGAUUCAGUUAAUUUUCUGCCCCUGAGUUAUGAAUAAUUUGAGAUAAUUUGCAUACGCCACUUUCUACGCAAAGGUUGUGAUUUAUAAAAACAAACUUGGCGUGAGAAUGUGUGCACCGGUGCGCCAACUUUGAUGCUUGCUUAUGCACAUUUUGGAGACAGAGGGAACGGCAGUGCCGGAGGGUGAAGUGGUGAAUUGAAACCAGAUUGAUCUCAAACCUUUAUUGUUAUCACAUAUUAGACUUGUAGAGCCAGAUAAUCAUAAACCCUCUUUGUUGUAGAUGUUUCUAUAGUGCGCCAUUCGACCUACGACUGUAUUUGCAGAACUAUGUUCAAAUAUCAAACUUCCGUCUUCAAAUGAUAUAGAGCGGUGAGUGGCACUGAUUGAUUACUAAUUUGGAAAAGGCAUGUGACAAUCAGUCCAAUCGCUGAUCAAGCGGAUAAAUAGCGGGUGACAGCCGUGUGUAAUGUGGCACAAUGGAUGCGCUGGCAUUGCUGGAAGAUCACGUUAAGAAUGGAGAGAGAUUUUAGGGAUCACGGGGAUUUCCUGGACGAUGACUGGCUAAUAAGCCGAUUUAGAUUCCCUAGAGCAGUACUUUUGGAUCUAUGUGCUGAACUGGGCCGUCUUAGACAGACCCACCCGCCGAAACCAUCCCGGUACAAACACAGGAGCUGACGACUCGGGUUUCUGGCGACACCGGCUCCUUCCAGCGUUAAGUGGCCGACAGACCGCCUCUGUCCAAACCUCCCUCCUUCCUCCUACUCCCCUGACCCUGAAAAGAGGAAGGACCUCCGGGAGGAAUGAAAGCAGGAGAAGUGGGCUCCUGGUGAAGUGGAUCGGGAAGGUCAGGAAUGUCGUGUCAUCGACUGCAGGGGGUCGGAUCACUGGGCCUAAUGGUCUGGAGAGACAUCAUACAGAGUAACUCCAUAUUUCCCCAAUCUGGGAAUUUGAGGAAUUCAAAGGGACAGUGAAGGAGCGCUGUUGUCUGAAACGGCUAAUUGGACUUAUCUAGAGGAAGGCCCGAAGAUCUGAGAAUUCCUGGGAUGCUGCAUGACAACAACUGGAGAUUUUUCUGGUUUUUACGUUCACAAUCUUUGGUCACUGCUCAAACUAAAUGAAGCUGUCAUUCAAAUUCUAAGUCCAGAGACUCCCUGAAGUCCCAAUCUGUAAAUCUAGAGGAUAUUAUCAUGUGUCAUAAGGAAAUAAUCUCGACUUGGUUUCUGUCUUUUACCACUAAUGCUAACUACAACCUGCUUUAGAACACUAAGCAUCCUAUAGAUGAUUCACUUUGGAGUAAAGAACGACUUUAUCCUUAA